CCGACAAAGACUCAAAAAGAAUCACUCGCACAUUGACUCCCUCUCUCUCCCACUUCUGAGUGAGUCAUGACUCGGUCGGCUUAAAUGGCGAGUACAGGGAAGACUCGGUUCGACUCGGGCUGAUUCGCAGCGAUGUCCACGGAGGUUAGCCCUUUGGGUAAACGCCGUCGUUCCCGGAACGUAAAUUUAUCUUUCACCCCCUUCUCUUCAAUCUUAUUUUCCUUUAUUAAUUUAACAUUAUGCAAUCGCUUGUCAAUUUUGAGCUUCCAAAGCUUAACUCAUACAUCUUGCGUCAUAUUUUACUUGCUCUCCCCGCUCGUCUAUUGUUUAUUUAUGCCUCUAUUUAUUAUAAUUUUUUUGUUUUAUAACAUCCACUAUUUAUGGCUCUGUUGAUCAUACUUGUAAUUUGUGUUCAAUAACAUCCACUAUCAUUUAUAGACACAAAGGUUGGCAAGUGUUGUAUCUGUAUACAAUCAUGGUUAUGUAAUAGCUGUUAAGGGAAUUUUGGGGCGGAAAAAGAAAAAUGAAAGUUGAAUUUUUCAAUUAGUGAGGGCUAAUGGUGAUUUGAUUGACAGUGUUUUGGCAACCUUGGUAGAGAACAAAGUUGUUCCUGAUCCUUUCUAUGGGCUGCAAAAUGAGAGACAAUUAUAGAUAUUGCUGAUUCUGGGAGAGAGUAUUACACAUUCUGGUUUUUUUUUUUUUUUUUUUUUUUUUUUUUUUUUUUUACAACUUUUCAGAGUAAGCUGGUAUGCAAUUCGUGACAUAAGACAUAAAAUAUGAUCUUGAGAUUUUAUACUUCUUGAAAUUAUUUUUCAUGCUAAUAUUUAAGAAAUUGUAAGAUUUUCCUUUGGUUGCAUUCCCUAUAAAUUUCACUUGAUAGUGUUUUUUCCUCUCAACCUUGUGUGAAAUUUGUCCGUACUUGGGUAGUUGGUCACUGUUAUUGGGUCAGAUUUUAACGACAAGAUGGUCUGAAAAUGGGCACAAAAAGCUCGUGCCAAAGGGGAUGUAUCGGAAGCAUUCUCUUGAUGUCACUGAUAUUCUGCAUCCUGAUGGUCAAACUUGCUUGCCUUUCUUGUUCGUCUUCCUGUGAGAAUUCCCCAUAAGGGGGGGCCAAGGUGGUGACCAUGAGGUUUAUGGCUAAAUCCAAAACCUAUUUAAUUUAUAUAUUAUUUUAUUUUAGAAUUACAUUUAUGAUUUUGGAUCCCAUGCGAGUGGAGUGAUGGAGUAAAAAUCUAAAUUUUGACAUGCUUGUAAUACAUACAAUUUUACAAUAAUUUGUUUUCAUGCUAGAUUGGAAAAAAUGUUGCCACACAAUACGUUCUGGGUUGGGAUUGGAUGGCUCCUAUAAGAACCAAAAUGAGACAGGUUUCUACAGAUAUUUGAAACAUAUUUUUAGUGAAUAGUGUCAGUGUUAUAAAUCAUUUGGAGAUCAGUUAUACAGUGGAGAUAGUAUAUGGGACAGAUUUUUAAUUUUAUUUGUGUAAUAACCUCCCUCAAUAGCAAAAUCUACCAUAAAUUCAAUGUGUGAGAGAUAGUAUGGAAGUAUGAACAAUAUUAUGAAAAUAUCAUUUUCCUUUAUUAUUAAAAAAAAAGGGAAAAUGAUUAAGUAUUAGGAACGUUGAAUGGAUGGGUUUUUUUUAAAGGAAAAUUAGCUAAUGUGGCAAUUAAUAACUCUAUAUUAAUGAUAUGUUAAGUGGAUUUUUUUUCACCCUUAGAUGUUAUGAAAAUCAAUGGUUAUGAAAAGGUGUAACUUGAAUCCAUCUCAUAUAUAUCUAUACACACACAUAUAUGCAUAUCUGUCAACCACCAGAUUUUUGCUAGAGCACGUCAUAAAGCUGAACUUUUUUUUUUUUGGGUAAAAAGCUGAACUAUUUCUGGCCUCUGCAGUUUUCCUUGUUAGUCUGUGUGUAGACUAGACUGAAUUUGCAACCUAUUGUACAUAUAGGUAAUGAAUUUCCUUCUCGAUUCAUUUCAUUGAUAUUGUACAUUACCAUUAAAGAAAUGUGAAAGCAUAAAAGACCCCCUCCUCCCCCAAGUUAAUAAAUUGCAUACUGCGCCCAAGGAAUAUAGCCUUCAUUACUUAUUUGUGCCUUGAAUUAUCCAAAAUGGUAUCUAGAGAUGUGAAAUUUCUGAUUACUGAGCAUUUGGAGCAUCCGAUUAUUAUAAAUUCAAAUAUCCUCAAUUCUCAUUAGGAGGUCAAACCAAGGACCUAUGGAAGUCGGGGUAGCCCCGUCCCCAUGGGCAUUUUUAUCUAGUUUUAGGCUCUCAAUACUUCUGUUAUAGGUUAUGAUGGAAUGAAUUUGCAGCUUUUCUUCUACAAUCCUGACCUAUGGCGGCCAAACAGUAUGGGAAAACAGUCCUUGUACAAUGUUCAUAUUACUGUUGAUAUAAAGGGAUAUGGAUAAUUUGAUGCUUGGAGCCAUCUAUUUGGCUUCCGAAAAAUUGAGAGCCAUAUUGAUAGUGCCACAGGUGGAAGGUUGUUCAAGGUCAACGGACAGCCUAUCAUUAUCCAUGGUGGUAAUUGGAUAUUGUUAGAUGGGUUACUACGUCUUUCAAAGGAACGUUACGAAACCGACAUCAAGUUUCAUGCUGAUAUGCGUUUUAAUAUGAUUCGCUGUUGGGGUGGUGGAUUGGCUGAGAGGACAAAAUUUUAUCAUUAUUGUGAUAUUUAUGGACUUCUGGUGUGGCAAGAGUUUUGGAGUACUGAAGAGAUUGAAAUGGUGACCCGGUAUCAAAUCCAAAUGGUCCCCUUGAUCAUGAUCUUCUCUUGCUAUGUGCAAGAGACACUGUCAAGCUUCUAAGGAACCAUCCAAGUCUUGCUCUUUCGGUAGGUGAAAAUGAGCAAGUUCCACCAGAUGACAUCAACAAAGAUUUGGAAAAUGUCCUGAGACUAAAUCCUUAUUUCAAGAACUCCAAUGAAAUCAUCAAAUCUUCUGAAGAUUUAUCUGCAGUGUCAAAAGAUCCUAGCCAAUAUUUCAAUGGUACACGUGUUUACAUCCAAGGACCUUUGUGGGAUGGAUUUGCAAAUGUAAGGGGGCUUCAUUGAUGGCCCUUAUGAAAUCCGAAAUCCCGAAGCAAUUUUUAAGAAUGAUUUUUACAGCCAUGGAUUCAAUCCUGAGGUUGAUUCUGUCAGGAUGGCUGUUGCAUAUACUAUCAGAGCAAGAAUGUCUCAAGAAGGUUGGCAGAUUCCGUUGUUUAAGCAACUUCCUAGUGGGUACACAGAAGAAGUUCCAACCCCAUAUGGGAAUAACAUAAAUACAUUCCCUAUUCAAAGCCAAAAAAAAGUGUUGAUCAGAUUGAACUUUGUGGAACCCCAAAGGAUCUUGAUGAUUUUUGUUUAGAGAGUUCUGUUGGAGGGCCAGACUUCCCGUAAAUACGCUAGUCCUGAUUUGGAAGGCACAUAACCCUUGGACUGGUCUUAGUGGUCAGUAAUGAUCAUCUUUUACACCAAAUGGCAGGAUUCUAUGGCUGUCACUGUGCUGCAGAAUCAAUCCAUGUCCUGCUGAAUCUGGCUACAUAUUUUAUAGAGGGAAUGUUUAGAUCCAUUCGAAAAACUAGGGUGUGAAGCAUUUGAUAUCUUUGUUAUUGAGGUUCUUUGUGUUGGCAAAGGUACUGCUGCAUUAAUUUUAUUCUAGAAUAUACUUGAUGGAUCCAUUCUUACCAUAUUGCUUGCACACACCUACCCUUGGUCAUUAUCAUGUGCACAAAGUACUUUUUUGCUAUUCUACCUAUUUCUGCAGGUCAUAAGCUACUCCCUCUGUUGAUUAUUCAUAUUUGGUAAACUUAGAAAUGCUUGUUCAAUCAUAUUACCAUACUCUAAAAACUUUUAUAAUUAAACAAUUACUACAUCAAGGGAUUAUCAACCUUUUGGGAUGAGUGUACAACCAUAUUUGUGAAAAUCACUUUACAAAAAUAAUUUUCCAUUUGAUGGUUUUGAUUUAAAUUAUUUUUCCAAUCAAGAUGUGAUAUCUUUUGUUUUUCCUCUCUCGCUCAUCUAUGCAAUUUUCGAAUCAUCUGCAGUGUGUCCAAAUUAGAAUUAAUAACAGUUUACUAUAUUAGAUUUGUUUUGAAAUUAUUUUGAAAAUAUAUUGUGAAUGUAGUAGCACUAUUAUUUUUGUUGAAGCCAAAUUUUUAUAAUUAUCAAGUUAGGGUGUUCAAAAUUUUUAUUAGGAUAGUCACAAUA